UUGUUUGAACCGCAUGGUUCAGACAUAAAAGGUGGCUUCGGCUACCACUUACAGAUGGACCCGCGGCGCAUUAGCUAGUUGGUGAGGUAACGGCUCACCAAGGCAACGAUGNGUAGCCGACCUGAGAGGGUGAUCGGCCACACUGGGACUGAGACACGGCCCAGACUCCUACGGGAGGCAGCAGUAGGGAAUNUUCCGCAAUGGACGAAAGUCUGACGGAGCAACGCCGCGUGAGUGAUGAAGGUUUUCGGAUCGUAAAGCUCUGUUGUUAGGGAAGAACAAGUGCCGUUCAAAUAGGGCGGCACCUUGACGGUACCUAACCAGAAAGCCACGGCUAACUACGUGCCAGCAGCCGCGGUAAUACGUAGGUGGCAAGCGUUGUCCGGAAUUAUUGGGCGUAAAGGGCUCGCAGGCGGUUUCUUAAGUCUGAUGUGAAAGCCCCCGGCUCAACCGGGGAGGGUCAUUGGAAACUGGGGAACUUGAGUGCAGAAGAGGAGAGUGGAAUUCCACGUGUAGCGGUGAAAUGCGUAGAGAUGUGGAGGAACACCAGUGGCGAAGGCGACUCUCUGGUCUGUAACUGACGCUGAGGAGCGAAAGCGUGGGGAGCGAACAGGAUUAGAUACCCUGGUAGUCCACGCCGUAAACGAUGAGUGCUAAGUGUUAGGGGGUUUCCGCCCCUUAGUGCUGCAGCUAACGCAUUAAGCACUCCGCCUGGGGAGUACGGUCGCAAGACUGAAACUCAAAGGAAUUGACGGGGGCCCGCACAAGCGGUGGAGCAUGUGGUUUAAUUCGAAGCAACGCGAAGAACCUUACCAGGUCUUGACAUCCUCUGACAAUCCUAGAGAUAGGACGUCCCCUUCGGGGGCAGAGUGACAGGUGGUGCAUGGUUGUCGUCAGCUCGUGUCGUGAGAUGUUGGGUUAAGUCCCGCAACGAGCGCAACCCUUGAUCUUAGUUGCCAGCAUUCAGUUGGGCACUCUAAGGUGACUGCCGGUGACAAACCGGAGGAAGGUGGGGAUGACGUCAAAUCAUCAUGCCCCUUAUGACCUGGGCUACACACGUGCUACAAUGGACAGAACAAAGGGCAGCGAAACCGCGAGGUUAAGCCAAUCCCACAAAUCUGUUCUCAGUUCGGAUCGCAGUCUGCAACUCGACUGCGUGAAGCUGGAGUCGCUAGUAAUCGCGGAUCAGCAUGCGCGGUGAAUACGUUCCCGG
rnacentral:rRNA from 1 species